rnacentral:misc_RNA from 1 species
GGCAAUGCAUGGAGAGUUUGAGA